GAUGAACGCUGGCGGCGUGCCUAAUACAUGCAAGUCGAGCGAACAGACGAGGAGCUUGCUCCUCUGACGUUAGCGGCGGACGGGUGAGUAACACGUGGAUAACCUACCUAUAAGACUGGGAUAACUUCGGGAAACCGGAGCUAAUACCGGAUAAUAUAUUGAACCGCAUGGUUCAAUAGUGAAAGACGGUGUUGCUGUCACUUAUAGAUGGAUCCGCGCCGCAUUAGCUAGUUGGUAAGGUAACGGCUUACCAAGGCAACGAUGCGUAGCCGACCUGAGAGGGUGAUCGGCCACACUGGAACUGAGACACGGUCCAGACUCCUACGGGAGGCAGCAGUAGGGAAUCUUCCGCAAUGGGCGAAAGCCUGACGGGGCAACGCCGCGUGAGUGAUGAAGGUCUUCGGAUCGUAAAACUCUGUUAUUAGGGAAGAACAAAUGUGUAAGUAACUAUGCACGUCUUGACGGUACCUAAUCAGAAAGCCACGGCUAACUACGUG
rnacentral:rRNA from 1 species